AAGAAGGCUGGGCUAGGCCGCGCCAUCCCCCGCGCGGCUAGCUUUCGUUUCUCCCCAUUCCGCCUUGACAAACCGCCUUUGCGAAAAGGGAAACCUAUGACAACCCCCACCUCUCCGCAGUGAUCAUCUGCACUCACACGUGCGUUUUAUUUGCCUUUAUUCCCCGCCCUUUCCCCCCUGCAAGUUGCCAGCCCAGCAUGGUAUCCUCACCCCCAGUUUCAUCCUCACAACGACCCUGCGAGGUUUGUCAGCUGAUUGUCUCCUGUUCAGUAUUACAUACGGCUGAGAAAGCUGUAUUGAUGCUGCAACUGCCUCUUCUGCACCAAGUAAGUGAUUUAUGCAUUUAUCAGACAUAUAACUUGAUUUUUUUUUAUUGCAGCCCUGUGUGUCUUCACAGCAUUAGCAAAAUGCAGUGACAGAUGCAAGGACACAUAUAUAAAGAAAAGCAGUUGAACUAGAGCUACUAGCUGAUGUCUGUGCUUACCUCCAGUAGUUAGGAAAGUCCAAGGCCCUCUACAGUAUAAGACCAAAAAGCAAAAUAUUAUAGUUUCUUCAGGAGCAGCAUGUAAAAUGGCAAGCUGUGCCUUAGUGUUUAUGUACAUGAAGCCCAGGAUACAGCCUCUCCCUCCAGCCUCAGAGAUUUAACUACCAGGAAAGAUAGAGGGCUAAACUUGGGGGAAGGGGAGGAAAUGAUGAUUCUGGCCAAUUCACAUCCGUAAUAAAAAUAAAAAUAAAAUAAAAUGAAGGGAGCUAUAUUGCGGCAGAGACCAGAAAAUCAGGGACUGUAGGAGCACAUGCUUAUUAUUGUUCUUUGCACAAUGUGUGAUGCCUUUACACAUUGCUAAAAGAAAGUCCAGGUUAGACAACACACACAUCACACACAUUCUUUUUUAAUAAAAAGAAAGCCCACCCACAGCAUCCCAACUCUGACAUAUUACAUAUUGAAAAUUUUUUUUAUUUACAAUACAGUAGCUAAAAAAUUCAAAAAGGCUGUGUGUUAGAAAACCAGACUGUCAUCUUCCUGUGGGAACCUGAAGUAUCUUUGGUUGCUUGGGGGGGGCACUAAAGUUUACUCCUUUAGCAGCAGUAAACUUCCUUCUGUCUCCUUAACAUUUUAUUUCUCUGUGAUGGAUGGAUAUAUAUGGCACCUGUGCAUUCUACACAUAAUCUAAAAUCUGGUGAAAAGAGAGCCUUUCAUAUCUCAGUGAACAGAAACUGCCAAAGUAAAGAUGUAACCAUGUCAAGCAUCUGGAGAAACCUUUUAAAAAUGACUGCCGAAAGAGGCAUACAAAAAUGUGUCAUAAUUUAUAUA